rnacentral:rRNA from 1 species
ACGAACGCUGGCGGCGUGCCUAGUACAUGCAGGUAGAACGCUGAAGGAGGAGCUUGCUCUUCUGGAUGAGUUGCGAACGGGUGAGUAACGCGUAGGUAACCUGCCUGGUAGCGGGGGAUAACUAUUGGAAACGAUAGCUAAUACCGCAUAAGAGUAGAUGUUGCAUGACAUUUGCUUAAAAGGUGCAAUUGCAUCACUACCAGAUGGACCUGCGUUGUAUUAGCUAGUUGGUGGGGUAACGGCUCACCAAGGCGACGAUACAUAGCCGACCUGAGAGGGUGAUCGGCCACACUGGGACUGAGACACGGCCCAGGCUCCUACGGGAGGCAGCAGUAGGGAAUCUUCGGCAAUGGACGGAAGUCUGACCGAGCAACGCCGCGUGAGUGAAGAAGGUUUUCGGAUCGUAAAGCUCUGUUGUAAGAGAAGAACGAGUGUGAGAGUGGAAAGUUCACACUGUGACGGUAUCUUACCAGAAAGGGACGGCUAACUACGUG